UCAGAUGGGCUGAGCAGCAGAGUGGACACAGCAGAGGCAAGAGCUUAGUAAACUUGAAGACAGGCUAAUGGAAAAUAUCCAAACUCAAGUUCAGAAAGAUAAAAGAACAGAAAGAACAAUGUCAACUGCAAAGGUCUUGUUUAACGGCUUCCCAGAAUACAAUAUUUAUCCAAAAAGAUUAUUCCUUUAAUCUUAGAAUGGUUGUUGCCGAAAAUAAAAGGGAAUUUGUGUAUUUAAACUAUAAAUAAACUCACUUCAUAAAUCCUAUUGUAGGUGUUCCUAUUGGACACCUGGAUCUAGUUUCCACACGGAUUAUAAAGUAAAGCUUCAAGCAGGUUUGAAUCUAAAAGCCACAUCAUCUGACAACUCUGAAGUUAUUUUCAUAUUUGAAAAAUGGAGGUGGUAGUACAUGUCUCACAGUUUUAGGGUGAGGAUGAAGUGCCAUAAGCCCUUAGCAUAAUGCCUGGUUCCUUGUGGAUAACACUGAAUAUUCUAGACGAACUUUGCAGUUAUCGCUGGAUAGCUCAACAGAGUAAACAUCUGUUUGUAUUAAGUUUUUCUUGGGUGCUACGUCUGCCUUGUCAGAAGAGUCCUUAGGGGAGGAUGAGGCAGCGAACUCUCAUUGCAUGAAAUGAGGUUUUAAAUGAGAUAAUAGGUGUGAAGCUCUCCAUAAAGCCCUUACAAAUGGUGAGUUUUCCUACUAUGGCAGGAACUUCAGUUUACCAACAACUCAGGUGGGACUGUUCCAGUAUGGAUCAAGUUCUUCUAAUGACACAUGUGGACACAUCUCCUGGGGAGACUUCUGAGAAAGGUUUCCUCAUUCCCAGAAACAGACCUCUGGGGAGAGUCAUUUUCUUCUGCUGAUCAUGAUCAGGUCUGAGUCAAGCGGCUGGAGCUCCAGCAACCUUCUUGUGAUGGGGAGGAAAGGAUGGAGACUGGGUCCUCCAUGACAUCCCCAAUUAUACCAACCACGGAGCUUCCCCACUUCAGGAAAUCUUGUUAAGUGACUUUGGAGGUGUUCGUAUUUAUGGCCAACCAGUAAAUCAAUGAAGAGAAAUCUCCAAAUGUCUUUAGACUAAGGACUUUUUAUGCCUUACACACUGUCUUCCAAAGAAGCCUUGCAAGUUCCUCUAGCUGAAAAUGCUUUGGCUGCUGCAACCGUUUCUCUCCUCUUAGGCCAUUGCUUUGUUUUCCUCACCUACCAACCAGGUUCCUCUGACAACUUUCUUGUAAGUUGCUCUGCUCCAAAACCAGCCCCCACAUUCAGGGGGCAGGGGUUGGGGGGGGCAUCUGAGAGGCUGGACUCUUCACCCAGGUGACCUGAGGUAAUACCCCAGAUGGCCACUUGAUGGUGCCCAAGAAUCUUCUCCUUCACUUGGCUCACAUGAUCCCGGGACGGCUCAGGUGAAUAAAGCAACUAUGGUAAAGAAGUCUGAUGAGAGCUACUGAUGUGUUCUUACAUGUCCCAUUGUGGGUCACAGUACUCUUGUGUCUGCAAUUUUUAUUUUGUUUAUUUCUUUACUUGUAUAUUUAUUUAUCUGAGAGCCGGAGAGAGAGAGACAGAACAGGAGUGCAGGGGAGGGAAGGGGAGGAGAGGGGCAGAGGGAAGGGAAAGGGAGAAACAGACUCUCCACUGAGCAGGGAGCCCGACUGUGGACUCAAUCCCAGGACCCUGGGAUCAUGACCUGAGCCAAGGGUAGGCGCUUAGCCAAGUGAGCCACCCAGGGCCCCAUGCCUGCCAUUUUUAAAGCAUACAAUGGAUUAUUCUGUUUAAUUUCAUCCAGAUGAAGAACUACUGACCACAGAAACAGAAAUGUAUGUUCAUAGGAGAUAUAGAAAUAUCACCAUAUGCAAAAUGUAAGAUGAUAUUGUCAUCAAAGAGCUGUGGAAAGAUUCCACAGUUAGAUCUGAAGUACCCCUGUCCUUUAAUAAGAUGGGACACACACUUUAUAGAUGAUACUGAGAAGGAAGUCUGUGAAGCCUCUCAGAGACAGCAAGAAAUUCACUGUAGAUGUUAGGCAAGGCCGUAAAGUGGCAAAAAUAGGAAUUUGAAAACAAAACUGUCCAAGGAAUGUGCAGAUACCUGAAUCUAACAGCCUAGAUCUUGCCCUCAGUUCUUGCAAGCACAAGAUGCAUAGCUAUCAAAGAGACAAAACUUUCUCAUCUGUAAAUAUUAAUGGGUUGACUCACGAAACUUUCUUCUAUACUCUCAGGGGCACCCACUUAAAAACCAACAUAUACUAAAUGCUAUCUUACUAAAGUAGUGCAGAGCAUUUAAAAAAAAUGUAUGUCAAGCUCUUUCAUUCGUAAGUGUCCUACCAUAGCAAUGGUGCUUCACCUGUAUCCCUUUCAGUCCCUCCAAUUCUGAUUCCAAUUCCAACAGGUCUUGUUUUUUCCCACAUCAGGUCAUUCUAUGAAUCACCACCUAUCUAAUUCCACUCAAUUCUGACACUAUCUACCUGGAGAUAACAUCAGAUCCCACGGGUUAAGGCAAAGUUCUACAAGAUUGUUCCCCUCUUCAGGUGCCAACCAUAAGUCUAGGUUGUCACCUGGGCUUCUGACCAAACAUUAUAGAUUGGAGGCUCUCAUGGCUCUGUCCUUGGGCUCAAUUAAUUUGCUAGAGCAGCUCACAGAAAAAGACUGAACUCGCUAGAUUACCAAUUUAUUAUAAAAGGAUGUAACUUACUAACAGCCCAAAGGAAGAGUUGCACAGAGCAAGGGAUGGGGAAAGGGGUACAGAGCUGCCAUGCCUUCUCCAACCAUCUGUCUCUCCAAAUCUAUACUUGCUCACCAACCCAGAAACUCUCCAAACCCCAUCCUUCUGGUUUUUUAUGAAGGAUUCAUUCCGUAGGCAACUGAUAAUAUCACUAGCCACUGGCAAAUGACAAACCUCCAGCCCCUCUCCACUCCAUGGAGGUCAGGGGGUAGGACUGAAAGUUCCAACCCUCUGAUUGCAAAAUUGGCUCACCUAGCAAGACCUUCCCUUUAGGAAGACCUAAGGGUUUCCCAGGUCACCCGAUUCACACAACUUGAAAAGACACCUUCAUGACUCCCAUCAUUUAGACAAUUCCAAGGAUUUUAGGAGCUCUGUGCCAGGAAUAGGGACAAAGACCAGAUAUAUAUCUCUUAUUAUAAAUCCCAAUAUAACAGUCCUUUUCACCCUUUCUGUUCUGUGACCCUCCAGCUCCUCCCUGCGACUGUUUGAGGAUCUCCCUUGGGCUAUAGAGGCUGCCUUGCACACUAAACUUGCCAGAAGUGCCCAGGAGUUAAUGUGCUUCUCCUCUGAGUCCGGGGCUACUGACCAGUGCGGGGGUCUGAGGGACCCACUCCGAGGCAAGGUUUGCCCUUCAGAGCUCCCCUCUGUAUCUGUUGGUGCGUGGCCAACACCACACUCUUGCUGGCGUCUUACCUUUCCUAUAUGUCUUUCCCCCACUCCUUCUCUUGUUUCUCCCUGGAGUAUUUCCUUAAUAAAUCAU